rnacentral:lncRNA from 1 species
UUUUUACUUUUUUUAGAGCUCGAGGUUUUUUAGUUUCUACCGGUCUCUGAUCACCUUUUUUCCCUGUUUUUUCAGUUAUACCCUAGAUUUUGGCCGAGUUUACCUUGGUCUAGACUACUUGUCUCCUUUUUUCGUUUACAAUGACAUAUUUCAAUCAUUUCCCUAUUGUCUUUAAGCUUGAGGUACCCUAUUUCUUAAGCUUUAGAUUAAAA